GCACUAAUCUCCCCAGGGGAGCCUGGCCCUUAAUUCGAUAAUCCACGAAUCUCUUACCCUUCCUAGUGUCCGGUAAUUCUUUUUAGAAAACCGGACGCCUCAGCCUAUAUACCGCCGUUGUGCAGCCCGUACCAUGAGGGGCUAUAAACAGGCAACGCACUAGCUAUUUAUUAUAGCUUUAGUUCUAAUUCAGGUAAACGUGUAGCCUAUGGAAGGGGGGCCGCUGGGCUACAGUGUUGAUUUUAUUUUGGAAUUAUACAAUUAACAUAGAUAAUGAAAGAGGACUUGGAAGUAACUGCCCCACACACUGGGGCAGUGAAUCUAGCACUAGUGUGCGU
rnacentral:rRNA from 1 species